rnacentral:ncRNA from 1 species
AUUAUGGAGAGUUUGAUCCUGGCUCAGAGUGAACGCUGGCGGCGUGCCUAACACAUGCAAGUCGAACGAUGAUGACUGAGCUUGCUCUUCCUGAUUAGUGGCGCACGGGUGAGUA